GACACACAGUUGGCCACUGAACUGAGCCCGGAAGCAAAGAGCCACAUCUGAGCACGGCUUAGUGCUGCAACCGCUUGACAAAUCUAUCUGAAAGCUAGAAAAAAAAAACAGACAUUCAGACAUUCACGUGACAGGGGAAGCUGUAGUUUGUCCCUCGUCGGCCACCGUUCUUUUGUUAAAGAUUACCAACACUUGGGCGGCAGCAGAGUGAGUCGGACCCUUUUGUGCAACUCGGGUGUACCCAGAUUCUCUUUAUCAUCAUUAUGCGUUUGUCGACGUUCGGUGCAGUGGCUGUCGGAGCAGUAGGCUCUGUGGCUGCAAUCCCGUUGGUCCUGGGAGCAGUGGGCUUUGGAGCAACAGGAAUAGCGGCUGGUUCCGUAGCAGCCAAAAUGAUGUCAGCUGCAGCCAUUGCUAAUGGUGGAGGAGUGGCUGCUGGAAGCACAGUGGCUGUUCUCCAGUCAGUUGGAAUGGCUGGUCUCGGGGGAGCUGCUACAACGGCUGUUGCCACUGCUGGAGGGGCUUUGGGAGCUGUUGUUUCUAAAAUCAGACGUUAAUGAAUAUUACAUGAGACAAAACCUAUUGGAUGAUUGGUGCCAUUAUCAAAAAUCAAUUACUUUUCUAUCAUUUAAUUUAAGUUAGUUUGUCUCUGAAUAUAAAUAGCCUACUUGGGGACAAUUAUUGACAGUGCCCUUUGAACCACCACUGCAAGAAGGUUCUCUUUUUAUGGAAUACAUUUUUUAAUGUCAAUAAUGUAAGAGAAUUAAAGUAAUUUAUCUUCCACCUACAUCUCAGUUUAACAUUGACUCACAAAAGCUGUAUUUACAUCAUGAUCUUCCCUUCACGUACCAUUGGCAUACCACUAUAUAAAUUGUGGCAUAUUGUGACAUAUAACUGGUGUCUACUGGCCUUCAUAGGCUCACCACACUGGCUUUUAAACCUCCUCCUUUGGAAUCAUAGUCAAGGGGCUUGAACACUCAAAGAUCAUAUUAUGUUCACUUUUUGAAAUCAUACUAUGUUGACUUUAAGGCCCCCCGGGCCCAUAUUACUAAUGGUAAAUAAACCUCCUGUGUAAGACAUCCAGUUGGUCUCCAGCCUUUUUCUUUCACCCUUUCUUGGACAAGCUGAAAAAUUCAACAACAAGUAAUAAUCUUAUGACCUUAUUUUUUAUUGAAUCAGUUCUUGCAUUUUAUAUUGUCCCAAACCACGCACUCUUCAAGGAGAUCGGAUCUUUUAUUAAAGGGAAUGUACUUCUCCAUGUCCAAGUGUGAGUCUAAGUUGUGAUUAAGGCUACUAUUGUGUGCACAACACUUUUCCUUUGGGAGAAUAAUAAAGAUAAAAGUAAAGAUAACAAGUAUUAGAGCCAGAUAUUGACCAUUUGUCUCAUGGGGCUCACAUUCAACUGAAGCUUGUUAUGAUUUUUAUGUGAUAGAUUCAAUUCAAACAACGUAAUUAUAGACACAUGCCUGAUUCUUAUGGAAGCAAACACAAUACAUAAGCUGCUACAGCUACUGUAAAUGAUUGGGAUCAUAUUAAACAGUAGGUAUUAUAUUAAACAAUAUGCCCUAAAAUAUGAACAUUUCAAAACUUUUUUUUUAAUGUACAUACACAUUACAUGUUCUAUAACACCUUCCUUUUCACUCACAGCCAUAACACAUAUUGAAAGUAUUCAAUUAUGCAUAUUCAAAACAUGAUUGCUUGAUUUGAUUCAUAUAUUAUAGCGUAGUAGGUCAUGGGCAAAGUGCAGGAACAGUCCGUCUCAAGAUAUGGGCCUGACUUGGUCAGGAAUACCAAGCUGGAGGAUUUUGCCUAUUGUGCAUGUUUUUAAUUUUCCACUUUAUUCAUUUGUGCAGUAUUUACAUGGUCCAGGGGCCUGUUCUCAUGCUCGUGCUCGAAGAACUUGUUCAGUCCAUGGGCUUUGUAAAUACACUCUGACUCAGAAAAUAACAAAUUCAGGUGUAUAAAUGGAAAAGGCCUAUAAUUCUAGCCAUUUAAUUGUAACUGGCUCUAAUUGAUGAGAGCUCAGAGAAUCCACAGAUUGUGGUUUUAAAACAUUUAUUUCAACUGUAAACUCUUUAUAAAACUUUGAUCAAAAAGGCAACUAAAAUCACUAAAAUAACUAGUACUUUGUGUAGUAUUUUAUGAUUUCAUAAGUAUAAUUUUGGCACCACUUUUAUUUGAGUAUAUUUUUAUCCAUGUAACUGCAUAUUUACUUAACAUUUUUGUACUAUUACCACCACUGCUGUUACCUCCUCCAAAAACAGUGCAACUGCACUUGUGUGUUUUGGAGCAGUGUAAUGUCAGAUGUGUGUGCUGUCUGCUUUUAUUUUCCUGGAGAGAGUCCAAUCAGAACUACCCUGAGUGACAGCUGUUUUAUCAUUUAAGAGCCUGACCUGAGACCUAAAGACUUAGACUAACAACAAGUGCAGUUUCUUUGACUGAUUUCCUUGUCAUGUCAAUCCCAGUGCUCUGUCCUAGGUCCACUUUGAGGGUGUCCUGUGUGACCUGGGGAAGGAAACUGGGUCAUAAUGAGUCAGUGGCCGUGUGGGAAUGGAGAGAACAGAUUGUGUAGAACAGAAUUUGUUCAUAGGGUAAGUCUAUACAUGAUGAUGAUGAUUUUAUUUUUCCAGGAAUAUUCCACAAUGGCAUUAAACUAACCUAUCACACGUGUUUAUAUUGGUCAUGGAAAACAAUUAUUCUUAUUAUUUGUAGGGUCGCCACUCAAUAGAUCUGACCUGUAACUGUCCUGGUAGUGUUUGUUUACAUUGAGAUAAAUACAUUAAACACCAUACUGUGAAACAUUCCAGGUCAUCCAGGUAGGACCAGUAACAAAGAAAUGUCAAUUCUAUCAACUGGACUAAAAUUUUAGAGUGAAGAGAUUUAAGACAGAUGUAAGACAGUGUCCCAUCAGUAACCUGAGCAGAACUGAAGAAGACGAUUGGAUGAGUCACGAAAUUUAUUUUUGAAGUGAUUUUAGUGGCAUAAUUGUGUUUCUCAAUGUUUAAUUAUGUUUCUCAAUGCUUUAUCGUGUACCUAACCUGAACUUGAUGUUUUUUUGUUUGUUUUUUUACAACUUUCGGGUUGAUAAGGCACCCUCUGCUGGUCAGUUUCGCUUUUCUUAUUUAAAGUUUCGUUUCUUUGUAAGUCCGAAACCUCUCUAUAUAUAAAGAGCACCAACUCGACUGCGCAGAGAUCCUACAGUUUCUGGCUACUAUGGGGUUACUGAGUUUCUGUGCAAUUGCUGCCGGAGCAGCAGGCUCUGUGGCUGCAGUCCCGUUGGUCCUGGGAGCAGUGGGCUUUGGAGCAACAGGAAUAGUGGCUGGUUCCGUAGCAGCCAAAAUGAUGUCAGUUGCAGCCAUUGCUAAUGGAGGAGGAGUGGCUGCUGGAAGCACAGUGGCUGUUCUCCAGUCAGUUGGAAUGGCUGGACUCGGUGGAGCUGCUACAGCGGCUCUUGGCAGCGCUGGAGGGGUUGUGGGAGCUGUUAUUGCUGCAAUCGUGUAAAACUAACAACAAAUCGAGGAAUACUACAUUUGACUAAACAUAAUGGAUACUUACAUCCAUUACCAUUGUCAAAACUAAAAUGGUCUUAAUAAAAAUAAAUGAUUUGUAUAUUUUAAAA